GUGAACGCUGGCGGUAGGCCUAACACCUGCCAGUCGCACGGCAGCACAGUAAGAGCUUGCUCUUCCGGGUGGCGAGUGGCGGACGGGUGAGGAAUACAUCGGAAUCUACUUUUUCGUGGGGGAUAACGUAGGGAAACUUACGCUAAUACCGCAUACGACCUACGGGUGAAAGCAGGGGAUCUUCGGACCUUGCGCGAUUGAAUGAGCCGAUGUCGGAUUAGCUAGUUGGCGGGGUAAAGGCCCACCAAGGCGACGAUCCGUAGCUGGUCUGAGAGGAUGAGCAGCCACACUGGAACUGAGACACGGUCCAGACUCCUACGGGAGGCAGCAGUGGGGAAUAUUGGACAAUGGGCGCAAGCCUGAUCCAGCCAUACCGCGUGGGUGAAGAAGGCCUUCGGGUUGUAAAGCCCUUUUGUUGGGAAAGAAAAGCAGCAGGUUAAUACCCCGCUGUUCUGACGGUACCCAAAGAAUAAGCACCGGCUAACUUCGUG
rnacentral:rRNA from 1 species